CGCACUCCGUUCUGUACGGCGAACUUGCGGAAGGAUCAUUACCGAGUGCGGGCCCCUCGGGGCCCAACCUCCCCACCGUGUUGCCCGAACCUAUGUUGCCUCGGCGGGCCCCGCGCCCGCCGACGGCCCCCCUGAACGCUGUCUGAAGUUGCAGUCUGAGACCUAUAACGAAAUUAGUUAAAACUUUCAACAACGGAUCUCUUGGUUCCGGCAUCGAUGAAGAACGCAGCGAAAUGCGAUAACUAAUGUGAAUUGCAGAAUUCAGUGAAUCAUCGAGUCUUUGAACGCACAUUGCGCCCUCUGGUAUUCCGGAGGGCAUGCCUGUCCGAGCGUCAUUGCUGCCCUCAAGCCCGGCUUGUGUGUUGGGCCCCGUCCCCCCCGCCGGGGGGACGGGCCCGAAAGGCAGCGGCGGCACCGCGUCCGGUCCUCGAGCGUAUGGGGCUUCGUCACCCGCUCUAGUAGGCCCGGCCGGCGCCAGCCGACCCCCAACCUUUAAUUAUCUCAGGUUGACCUCGGAUCAGGUAGGGAUACCCGCUGAACUUAAGCAUAUCAUAAAACCGGAGGAACC
rnacentral:rRNA from 1 species